rnacentral:rRNA from 1 species
AUACGCAGGUGACAAGCGUUAUCCGGAUUUACUGGGUGUAAAGGGCGUGUAGGCGGUUUAGCAAGUCAGAAGUGAAAUUCCCGGGCUUAACUUGGGAGCUGCUUCUGAAACUGCUUUACUUGAGUGCUGGAGAGGAUAGUGGAAUUCCUAGUGUAGCGGUAAAAUGCGCAGAUAUUAGGAGGAACACCGGUGGCGAAGGCGGCUAUCUGGACAGUAACUGACGCUGAGGCGCGAAAGCACGGGGAGCAAACAGGAUUAGAUACCCUGGUAGUCCGUGCCGUAAACGAUGAAUACUAGGUGUAGGGGGUAUCGACUCCCUCUGUGCCGCAGUUAACACAUUAAGUAUUCCACCUGGGGAGUACGGCCGCAAGGUUGAAACUCAAAGGAAUUGACGGGG